rnacentral:rRNA from 1 species
UGAGGAAUAUUGGGCAAUGCCCGAAAGGGUGACCCAGCAACGCCGCGUGGAGGAUGAAGGUCGUAAGAUUGUAAACUCCUGUUAGAGGGGAAGAAUAACUAAGUUUGGAGCUUAGUAUGACUGUACCCUCAGAGAAAGCCCCGGCUAACUACGUGCCAGCAGCCGCGGUAAUACGUAGGGGGCAAGCGUUGUCCGGAUUUACUGGGUGUAAAGGGCGCGCAGGCGGAAUGGAAAGUCAGUGGUGAAAUCCUACAGCUUAACUGUAGAACUGCCUUUGAUACUUGCAUUCUUGAGUUCGGGAGAGAGAGACGGAAUUCCAGGUGUAGUGGUGAAAUACGUAGAUAUCUGGAAGAACACCAGUUGCGAAGGCGGUCUCUUGGUCCGAUACUGACGCUGAGGCGCGAAAGCGUGGGGAGCAAACA